UUCAAACAGAAAUCCAAACAUAUCUUAAAGUGACACAAUCAUCAAGUGUAAAGAAACUCAACAAGCAUAUUCAAAAACAAACAAAAACACGUAACCAAACCAUUACCUAUGCAAAAGAGAUCGGAUUUGGGUGACUACAGUGGAGACUUAGGCGAGGAUGCCCUCACCCCAAUAGCCAAGGUUUGACGCUCGAAAAAUGAAGAAUAGAUUAAGCUCGAAGGUUGUUAUUGUUGCCGGAAAAAUGUCGAGUCGUGAUGCGACGGUUCCAAUUGUAGCCUUUCUGGUUGUAACAAGGGAGACGGCGGAGAGUUUAAGGGAUUUGUGGUUUUUACAGCUGAAGCGUGGAGUAUGGAGGGUUAUUUUUCUGUGUGAACAGUUUUCUUGAAUCCUCUCUUUGGAUUUGUGGUUUUUACAGCUGAAGCGUGGAGUAUGGAGGGUUAUUUUUCUGUGUGAACAGUUUUCUUGAAUCCUCUCUUUUUCUUUUUUGAAUGGUAGCCGCUCCUCUUCUCCUCCUCUGUGAACAGUAUCCGCCCCUUUUAUAAUCCCAUUGCUAGGGUUUGGAUGAGAUCAAAAGAGUAUUGGAAUUGGAAGUGCUUUCUUGUGCUGCUCUGUUGUCUAUCCCAUUUUGGUGCUUGCUCUGAAAAAGGUAACUUGUACCUUGUACCUUCUCCUGGAAAUAUUUUGAUUCCCUUUUGUUGCUUGUGAAUUUUUACCAUCUUACCAAGUUGUUGUGAUUUUACUGCAGUGAAUUUUCCUGCAAGUUUGAGGCUUCUCUUAACAACACUCAACCUUGCAAGAGUAGCCUGUUUCUUCAUGUGAACCACAAAAUAUCUACUGAUGGUUUUGCAAGUCCAGUUACCAGUCUAGACAAGUCUGUGGUUAACGGUUGUUUGAAUUGCGACAGGUCUUGAAGAGCACAAAAGGUGUCUAACCUCAUUCAACCUCAGAUCACGACCAUAAUGCAACUGUGUUGCUAGAGUUGAAAAUAUGCUCCAUACCAUCUAAGAAAGACCCAUCAACUGAAUCUGUGUCCUCAAGUUUAGCUCCCUCCAAUCCAAUUGCAUCGGAAAUAGUAGAAGAUAUUGUCACUGGGUACAGAUUUAGCAUAUAAGGUGUGGACAGAGAGAUUACAUUAGGUAAUCUUUUUCUUCCAACUUUAUUAAGAAAAUGGUUUAGAUAUUCAUAACUAUUUGGGAGAGAAGACGAAUAUUUAUGGCUUACAAGCUCUUACAACUUGAGCCUAAUAUUCGGGAUUAUAACUGGAUAUUCCCUCCAGGAUAAUCUUUUUCUUCGCGUUUUAUUUAGAAAAUGGUUUGAAUACUAGGUUUGUGGAAGGGAAGACGAAUAUUUAUGGCUUGCAAGCUCUUACAGCUUGAGCCUAAUAUUCGGGAUUAUAACUGAAUAUUCCCUCCAGGAUAAUCUUUUUCUUCACGUUUUAUUUAGAAAACGAUUUGAAUAAUAAAUUAAAAUAAUCAAAGUAUAGAGAUUUGAAAUUAUUUAUUUUUAAAGCGGUUUUGAAUGGAUGAUGAAAUUAAAGGAAACCAAAUUUGUGUUAUUAAAUGAUAAUGAAACUAUGAGUGUAGGAGAAACUAUGGGUGUCGAACCCAGGACUAAGGGCCUACCAAACCAACACUCUGGCUAACUCCACCAGUGGUCCAUUGAUGACAAUAUCAGCAAGGAAAAAUAAUAAAAGGGAAAAAAGAUGCAUAAGUGAAAAAAAAGCUAAACAGAGGAACAACAGGCUAUCCAGCAGGAAACGAUUGCUUCAUGCUGAUGUUAAAACAACGGCAAAUCCCACGAAACAUGUUUCUCCGGCACAAAACCGAAAUCACAAAGCCUUUCAAACAGAAAUCCAAACAUAUCUUGAAGUGACACAAUCAUCAAGUGUAAAGAAACUCUCCAUCGCAAUUCUGCAAAGAUGGAUUCAUGUGGCUUAGUUUGGCCGGAAAAUAGUAUUGUUUACAGUAUACAUAGGCGCUGAUUGCUAGAAAGAGCUUCAUUUAUACUUUACUGUACAUUACCACGGGGUCCAUUCUUAGCAUAAGAGGAAACUUACUGUUUUAGCAUGUUGGGUUGAAGGUUUGGAAUUCAACAAUUUUGAAUCCCUACCUUUGGUGUUUCUUUCCACUUCGACAUCUUAGUCAAUGUCGACGAUUCUCCAAUGGCUGGCCAAAAAUUUUUUGCCUGCUUAUGUCUUCUUGUCGGCAGAUUUGGCCGGAUGUCAACUUUGGCACGUAAAUGGCAGGUAUAGGAAAGUGAACACGCAAUGUGAAUGUAGAUUCUCUCUGUCCACCUUAUAUGUAUCUGUACCCUAGUGACAAUAUUCUACUGAUUUCGUGCAUUGGAUUGGAGGAGCUAAACUGAGGAACAGACUUCAGUGCAUGAGGUCUUUUUUAGUAUGGUAUGGAGACUUUUUAACUCUAGCAAACAGUUUCAUUAUGGUCGUGAAUCUGAGGUUGAGAUGGGUUAGACCCUGUUGUGCCUCUUCAAAGCCUUGUCGCAAUUCCAAACAACCGUUCCCGACUUGUCGUUUGGGAUGUACUGGAACUUGCAAACCAUCAGUACGAUUUUUGUGUAUCACAUGAAGGAACGCACUUUGCAAGGUUGAAGGUUGUUGACAGAAGCCUCAAAGUUGCCAUGAAAUUCAAUGCAGUAAUCACAACACUCGUAAUUGGUAAAAUUUCACACAACAAAGGGAAUCAAUAUAUUCCAGAGAAGGGUAAAGGUACAACUUACUUUUUCAGAGGCAAGACACCAAAAUGGAAUGACAAUGGCAGCAAGAAGCACUAUCAUUCCAAUUCUCUUGUUAUCAACCCUACAUGGAUUAUAAGGGGGGUAUUGUUCACAGGAAGGAGGAGAAGGGAGCGGUACAUUCAAAAAAGAAAAGAGAGGAUUAAGAAAAUGUGCCAAGAAAAAUAACCCUCCAUUAAACUUCCCCACGGCUUUCAAAGCUGUAAAAGAAAACCACAUCCUUGGAAAACUCUCCGCCGUCCCUUGGUUUUUUUUUUUUUUUUUUUUUCACCAGAGGACAUCGCGAUCUUCUCUAUUNAAGCUCGAAGGUUGUUAUUGUUGCCGGAAAAAUGUCGAGUCGUGAUGCGACGGUUCCGAUUGUAGCCUUUCUGGUUGUAACAAGGGAGACGGCGGAGAGUUUAAGGGAUUUGUGGUUUUUACAGCUGAAGCGUGGAGUAUGGAGGGUUAUUUUUCUGUGUGAACAGUUUUCUUGAAUCCUC
rnacentral:lncRNA from 1 species